AGUGAACGCUGGCGGUAGGCCUAACACAUGCAAGUCGAACGGCAGCACAGUAAGAGCUUGCUCUUACGGGUGGCGAGUGGCGGACGGGUAAGGAAUACAUCGGCAUCUACUUUUUCGUGGGGGAUAACGUAGGACCACUUCCGCUAAUACCGCAUACGACCUACGGGUGAAAGCAGGAGAUCUUCAGCCCUUGCGCGAUUGAAUGAGCCGAUGUCGGAUUAGCUAGUUGGCUUGGUAAAGGCUCACCAAGGCGACGAUCCGUAGCUGGUCUGAGAGGAUGAUCAGCCACACUGGAACUGAGACACGGUCCAGACUCCUACGGGAGGCAGCAGUAGGGAAUAUUCGGCAAUGGGCGCAAGCCUGACCGAGCCACGCCGCGUGAGUGAAGAAGGUCUUCGGAUUGUAAAACUCUUUUGUUAGGGAAGAAAAGAUGUAGAAGUAAAUAUGGACGUCCUGACGGUACCUAAACAGAAAGCCCCGGCUAACUACGUG
rnacentral:rRNA from 1 species